rnacentral:lncRNA from 1 species
GUUUAUUUGAGAAAGAAAGAGCACAAACAGGAGUGGCACAGGGAGAGAGAGCAUCUCAAGCCGAGGCCAUGCCGAGUGUGGAGCCCAAUACAGGGCUCGAUCCCAUGACCCUGAGAUCACCACCUGAGCCAAAAUCAAGAGUCAGAUGCUUAACCGACUGCGCCACCCAGGUGCCCCAAAAAGAAGUCGGUAAUACGAAAUCACAUAACUGUGGCCAUAAACACUGGGCUCGGGGCAUGUGUAGUCAAGGCUUAAGAAGAGGUAAGGUUCUUUUGCUUUUGUGUUUGGUUUUCUGUUUGCUUAGUGCUUUCUAUUAUUUUAGGUCCAAAAACCUUACCUGUUGCUGCAGAGUUUUUCCCCCAGGGGACCCUCGGUGGUUCUGCUCCUAG